rnacentral:rRNA from 1 species
CGGGGGGAGCAAGCGUUGUUCGGAUUUACUGGGCGUAAAGGGCGCGUAGGCGGCGCAACAAGUCACUUGUGAAAUCUCCGGGCUUAACCCGGAGCGGCCAAGCGAUACUGUCGUGCUAGAGUGCGGAAGGGGCUACUGGAAUUCUCGGUGUAGCGGUGAAAUGCGUAGAUAUCGAGAGGAACACCUGCGGCGAAGGCGGGUAGCUGGGCCGACACUGACGCUGAUGCGCGAAAGCCAGGGGAGCGAACGGGAUUAGAUACCCCGGUAGUCCUGGCCUUAAACGAUGGAUACUUGGUGUCCGGGGUUACAUAGUCCCCGGGUGCCGGCGCUAACGCAUUAAGUAUCCCGCCUGGGGAGUACGGUCGCAAGACUG